AGCCUCUAGUUGUAUAUAUUCAUGAAGAUUUCCUUUUCAUAAAAAAGCUAUAAGUUCUUCAUUGAACUGCUUCAAAUAUCAAUUCUUGGCAAAUAGAAAUCUCAUGUUGCGUACUCAUAAUGUGAGAAUUUUGAAGCAAAUAUAUCAAAAAGCUGCUUUUCAUGCAUAUUUAAGGGUUUAAAAUUGUAGAACAAUUCUCAUACCAUACCUAAGCAACAUAAUUCUUCUCUUAUUUUGUUGUGUGAAUGAUAGUCUUGCACAACAAGGUGCAAGACAUGAACCUCAUACGCUGCAACUAAGCAAACAGAAACAGCUUGAGGUUUGAGGAGAGGCAUAAGAGCAUUCAAUAAGGUGAGGUUCGAGCCAUUAGGUAAAUAGCACAUAUUAUAUGAAUUUCUCUUCUGCACUGAAAAAUCAAUAAUCAAAAAAUUCUCAAGUUAUAGGCGCAAGACAUUAUGAUUAAUUACACAUGAACAGAAAAAAAAAAAA